rnacentral:rRNA from 1 species
GCCUUGGCACUAGAAGCCGAUGAAGGACGUUACUAACGACGAUAUGCUUUGGGGAGCUGUAAGUAAGCUUUGAUCCAGAGAUUUCCGAAUGGGGAAACCCAGCAUGAGUUAUGUCAUGUUAUCGAUAUGUGAAUACAUAGCAUAUCAGAAGGCACACCCGGAGAACUGAAACAUCUUAGUACCCGGAGGAAGAGAAAGAAAAUUCGAUUCCCUUAGUAGCGGCGAGCGAAACGGGAAGAGCCCAAACCAACAAGCUUGCUUGUUGGGGUUGUAGGACACUCUAUACGGAGUUACAAAGGACGACAUUAGACGAAUCAUCUGGAAAGAUGAAUCAAAGAAGGUAAUAAUCCUGUAGUCGAAAAUGUUGUCUCUCUUGAGUGGAUCCUGAGUACGACGGAGCACGUGAAAUUCCGUCGGAAUCUGGGAGGACCAUCUCCUAAGGCUAAAUACUCUCUAGUGACCGAUAGUGAACCAGUACCGUGAGGGAAAGGUGAAAAGCACCCCGGAAGGGGAGUGAAAUAGAACCUGAAACCGUGUGCUUACAAGUAGUCAGAGCCCGUUAAUGGGUGAUGGCGUGCCUUUUGUAGAAUGAACCGGCGAGUUACGAUUUGAUGCAAGGUUAAGCAGUAAAUGUGGAGCCGUAGCGAAAGCGAGUCUGAAUAGGGCGUUUAGUAUUUGGUCGUAGACCCGAAACCAGGUGAUCUACCCUUGGUCAGGUUGAAGUUCAGGUAACACUGAAUGGAGGACCGAACCGACUUACGUUGAAAAGUGAGCGGAUGAACUGAGGGUAGCGGAGAAAUUCCAAUCGAACCUGGAGAUAGCUGGUUCUCUCCGAAAUAGCUUUAGGGCUAGCCUCAAGUGAUGAUUAUUGGAGGUAGAGCACUGUUUGGACGAGGGGCCCCUCUCGGGUUACCGAAUUCAGACAAACUCCGAAUGCCAAUUAAUUUAACUUGGGAGUCAGAACAUGGGUGAUAAGGUCCGUGUUCGAAAGGGAAACAGCCCAGACCACCAGCUAAGGUCCCAAAAUAUAUGUUAAGUGGAAAAGGAUGUGGCGUUGCCCCAGACAACUAGGAUGUUGGCUUAGAAGCAGCCAUCAUUUAAAGAGUGCGUAAUAGCUCACUAGUCGAGUGACACUGCGCCGAAAAUGUACCGGGGCUAAACAUAUUACCGAAGCUGUGGAUUGUCCUUUUGGACAAUGGUAGGAGAGCGUUCUAAGGGCGUUGAAGCAUGAUCGUAAGGACAUGUGGAGCGCUUAGAAGUGAGAAUGCCGGUGUGAGUAGCGAAAGACGGGUGAGAAUCCCGUCACCGAUUGACUAAGGUUCCAGAGGAAGGCUCGUCCGCUCUGGGUUAGUCGGGUCCUAAGCUGAGGCCGACAGGCGUAGGCGAUGGAUAACAGGUUGAUAUUCCUGUACCACCUAUAAUCGUUUUAAUCGAUGGGGGGACGCAGUAGGAUAGGCGAAGCGUGCGAUUGGAUUGCACGUCUAAGCAGUAAGGCUGAGUAUUAGGCAAAUCCGGUACUCAUUAAGGCUGAGCUGUGAUGGGGAGAAGACAUUGUGUCUUCGAGUCGUUGAUUUCACACUGCCGAGAAAAGCCUCUAGAUAGAAAAUAGGUGCCCGUACCGCAAACCGACACAGGUAGUCAAGAUGAGAAUUCUAAGGUGAGCGAGCGAACUCUCGUUAAGGAACUCGGCAAAAUGACCCCGUAACUUCGGGAGAAGGGGUGCUCUUUAGGGUUAACGCCCAGAAGAGCCGCAGUGAAUAGGCCCAAGCGACUGUUUAUCAAAAACACAGGUCUCUGCUAAACCGUAAGGUGAUGUAUAGGGGCUGACGCCUGCCCGGUGCUGGAAGGUUAAGAGGAGUGGUUAGCUUCUGCGAAGCUACGAAUCGAAGCCCCAGUAAACGGCGGCCGUAACUAUAACGGUCCUAAGGUAGCGAAAUUCCUUGUCGGGUAAGUUCCGACCCGCACGAAAGGCGUAACGAUUUGGGCACUGUCUCAACGAGAGACUCGGUGAAAUCAUAGUACCUGUGAAGAUGCAGGUUACCCGCGACAGGACGGAAGGACCCCCGUGGAGCUUUACUGUAGCCUGAUAUUGAAAUUCGGCACAGCUUGUACAGGAUAGGUAGGAGCCUUUGAAACGUGAGCGCUAGCUUACGUGGAGGCGCUGGUGGGAUACUACCCUAGCUGUGUUGGCUUUCUAACCCGCACCACUUAUCGUGGUGGGAGACAGUGUCAGGCGGGCAGUUUGACUGGGGCGGUCGCCUCCUAAAAGGUAACGGAGGCGCUCAAAGGUUCCCUCAGAAUGGUUGGAAAUCAUUCAUAGAGUGUAAAGGCAUAAGGGAGCUUGACUGCGAGACCUACAAGUCGAGCAGGGUCGAAAGACGGACUUAGUGAUCCGGUGGUUCCGCAUGGAAGGGCCAUCGCUCAACGGAUAAAAAGCUACCCCGGGGAUAACAGGCUUAUCUCCCCCAAGAGUUCACAUCGACGGGGAGGUUUUGGCACCUCGAUGUCGGCUCAUCGCAUCCUGGGGCUGUAGUCGGUCCCAAGGGUUGGGCUGUUCGCCCCAUUAAAGCGGUACGCGAGCUGGGUUCAGAACGUCGUGAGACAGUUCGGUCCCUAUCCGUCGUGGGCGUAGGAAAUUUGAGAGGAGCUGUCCUUAGUACGAGAGGACCGGGAUGGACAUACCUCUGGUGUACCAGUUGUCGUGCCAACGGCAUAGCUGGGUAGCUAUGUGUGGACGGGAUAAGUGCUGAAAGCAUCUAAGCAUGAAGCCCCCCUCAAGAUGAGAUUUCCCAACUUCGGUUAUAAGAUCCCUCAAAGAUGAUGAGGUUAAUAGGUUCGAGGUGGAAGCAUGGUGACAUGUGGAGCUGACGAAUACUAAUCGAUCGAAGACUUAAUCAA